rnacentral:lncRNA from 1 species
CCAUGUUUAGAGCAAGAGGUAAAGCCAUCUGAGGUACUUUGCAACCUGACUGGGUGUUUCUCCUGCUUGCCUACAGCCCCUGCUCUUGGCUGCAACACCGUUCUGCUGCCCUGUGUAAUUUCAGGUCAGUGAAGAUUUCUACACCAAACUCCAGCUAGACCAUCUAGAGGAUGUGCUUGGGGAAACGCCACAUUCAGAAGGAUUUUGUGCUCCUGCCUUCACAAGAGCCAUCAGAACCAGCUGCACUUCGGAGAAUGAGCCAGAGUCACCCUGGGCUUGGAAAGGAGCUGCGGGACGCUGAGUGCCAGCUCAGGGGGAUGUACAGGAGCGCUGCCUCCGGGGCAGGAGCAAGCUGCAGAGUGACCUGUGAGUGGGCUUGUCCCCAGUCUCUGUGGACACUGACAAACAGAAAGACAGAGGCAAUGGUGGCAACAGGUAAUGUUAAAAUGUUUGCUGUGAAUGUUGAGGCUUAAUGCUAAACAGCAACAUUUCAGAAUCCCUCAGCACAGCAAGACCCCAGGCAUAGAUGACAAGCUCUCUGCGAAUGAGGAGCACCCGGAGUAGCACUGUCAGAGGUGGUUAAUGGAAUUGGGUGUUGAUCCCUGUUUACCUGCUGGUGGUGGCUCUGGAAGGAGGGCUUCUUCCUUUGCUGGUGGGGUCUAAAGCCUUUAGCGAUGCACAAGCGCUCCACGUGAGCCCUGUGCACUGCCCCAACACCUCGGUGUUGGUGCUGCCAGCCCUUCUGGGAGCCCCCAGCCAUGGGCCAUCCCCUUUGUGCGUGGCUGCCUGCCAAGCCCCAGCUCACCAGGACCCAUGCCAGCCCAGGUCAGAGUUGGGCAUCCACCUUGGAUCACAUGUCUGGAACCUUCUCUUAGCAUUCCUGAGGGCCUGUUCACAAAAGCUUUGUCCGCCUGCUUCCUUGCAGUAGCCCGUGAGCAGGGCCAACCCACCCAUGUUCCCUGGGAGGUUAUUCCCGGCUGAACAAGCUUUGCUCCAUGGAACUGAUCUGCUGAAGUGCACUUGCCUUCCUCGCCAUCAUUCCACUAGGCAGGCUGCAGAGAUAACGUCCGUCUUUGUUCUGAUGUGAGACCCUUGCGUAGGUACACAAUCUUCCCCGUAGUGUAUGCUUAAAAUAGAUAAAAUGCCUUUUCUGAAUUGCAAUUUAGAUUGAUUUUGAUAGAGAGGAUGGCGGAAUCAUACACAGAAGAAAAAAAAAAAAUCUUUUAAAAUGAGAACGGAAUCAAAUAUAGUUUAGUAGUAUACUCGUUACAGAAUGAACAGCAUAUUGUAUGUGCUGUGUUAGAGGUAUGUUAUGAAUAACAAAAGCACUGGAGCAUUUACAUAUUUGUUUUCAGAAAUCCUGGCAGUUGGAUUUCACCAUUCUGCGCCUCUUUGCCAGAAUCACUAAACAGUGGUACAUAUGGCUUCUGAAGUACCAUAUGCCGUGGAAAACGUUAGCUGAUGCCUAUACUG